UUUCAAAAACGCCCAGCAGAGACUUUGUUCUCUGGUUAAAUCUCACAAAGAGAAGUUUGAACAAGCAUAGCAAGCUUAGAAAGGCAAAAUAUAAAAUAUAUGGUUCGAGUAUUAAAGGCAUACCAGGAAGUGAAAUGGAGCAAAAUCCUGUGUUCUAGGAAAUAACAGAUUAAGGGAGUGGCACCUUGGGGCAAGAUCCUACCCAGCCCCAAUUACCACCUUUAAUCCCAGGAGACGGGCAUGCUGAUCUCUGCAUUCCAGGACAAUCUGCAGAGCAAGAUCCAGGAUAGCCAAGUUUAGGCAGUGAAGGAUUUGGAAAGCAUAAAGCCAGUGAUAAUGUAAUAGUACAAGGGGUUCAUGUUCUAGGUCCUGCAAGCAGCAGAACUCGGCAGCUUCAGCCAUGUGGCUCUGGCUCUACAGUUAAAAAUGAAAAGAACUGCUGGGUCAGUUGAAGCUGGUUAGCUGGAGCUAAGAAUUAGCAGUGAUUGAGACCAGCAUCACUAAGGUGAAAUCUUCUGGGAACUGUUUUCUGGGAGCACAAAGAAGUUAUGUUCCAGAGAUAGCCAAGGUUGUACCUCGUGCUGCAGCUGGAUUUGGUAAUGUGUAAGAGUCAUCCAGGUGAUACUUGUUUUGAAGGCAUGAAGGUGUCAUGAAGAACAGCUGAGGUUUGGCACUGUGAGAGGUCAUGGAAGGCCAUUGGAGAAGGUGUAGCCUCAGCUAUAGUUGGACUGAAGGGUUCAUGCAAAGGAUUUGAUGCUUGGCACCAGGAAGAGAGCCAUUGAGAGGCUAUUGAUGAAGCCUAGUUGAGGGGAAUACCCCACUGUACUGGAGAUGUCAGUACCAUGGGAUGAUCACCAAGAACAGCAGCCAUAGUGGAGUGGAUCAACCUGAGCAUAGAGUGCUACAGGGGGCAGAAAUGGAGAAGUGUUGCCAGCCCUUAGGAGGUGUCCAAAAGAUCAAGUGGAAUCCCAGACACUGAAACAAGAAGUUGUAACAAUGAAAUUGCCUUGGAGACUCAAAGAUGUUAAAUAUGACAGAGUCAUGGGAUACAUGCUGAGGAAAGCUGCUAACAGGAAGUGGAACCAGCCCAGGGGAAAGCAGUUUGUUGCAAUCAACAAAAAUGAAAAAGAAGUGAAGAUCUGAAGACUGCUUUGACAUCAGCCACGGAGAUGCAGGGUUUGGAAUUUGCCCAGCUAGUUUCCUAUCGUUCUUUGGGGAUUACAGUUAAGUGAUUGGAUGAAUCUCAGAAGAGACCUUGAACUUUGGAUUUUUAACAUUGUUGAGACUGCUAUAGACUAUGAGGACUUUAAAAGUUGGACUAAAUGCAUUUUGCAUUAUGCUAUGUUUAAGUAUGGCCCCUCCCAUAGACUCAUAUGUUUGAACAAGUCUAUAGGGGCCAGGGAGUGGAAUGUGAUGGUUUUUAUAUUCUUGGGCCAGGGAGUGGCACCAUUUGGAGGUGUGACCUGGUUGGAGUAGGUGUCUCUGUGGGUGUGGGAAUAAGAUCCUCACCCUAGUUGCCUGGAAAUCAGUCUUCCAGUAGCAGCCUUUGGAUGAAGAUGUAGAACUCUCAGCUCUGCCUGUGCCAUGCCUGCCUGGAUGCUGCCAUGCUCCCACCUUGAUGAUAAAGGACUGAACUUCUGAACCUACAGAAGCCUAGCAUGGCUGUCAUCUGAGAAGCUCUGCUAGCAACUAACUGAAACUGAUGCAGAUACUUAACAGCCAAACAUUGGACUGAAGUUGGGACCCCCGUGGAAGAGAUAGAAGAAAGAUUGAAGGAGCAGAAGCAGAUGGCAACGCUAUAGGAAGACCAACAGUGUCUACUAAUAUGGUCUCCUGGGAGCUCCCAGAGACUAAGCUACCAACCAAAGAGUGUACAUAGGCUGUUGCUAGGUAACUGGGAAGAGUUUAGCCUGAAGGUCAGAAGCUUGGGACAUUGUCUACAGGACUACUAGCCAUGCCUCUCCUGUGGGGGCUGUGGGGGCAGUAACUUCAACAGGAGCCUUGAGUCCAGGAGACAUGCGGGAACUCCUUCCGUCCCAUGUAGGUGAAUUAUCACUAUCACUGGGUUUCUCCGAGGUUCAGAUCUCAUCUUGACUGGAGACCAGGCUGUCUGGUCUCAGUGGGAGAGGAUGGGCCUAAACUUGUAGGGAC
rnacentral:lncRNA from 1 species